CCUACGGGAGGCAGCAGUGAGGAAUAUUGGUCAAUGGACGCAAGUCUGAACCAGCCAUGCCGCGUGCAGGAAGACGGCUCUAUGAGUUGUAAACUGCUUUUGUACGAGGGUAAACGCAGAUACGCGUAUCUGGCGGAAAGUAUCGUACGAAUAAGGAUCGCCUAACUCCGUGCCAGCAGCCGCGGUAAUACGGAGGAUUUAAGCGUUAUCCGGCUUUAUUGGGGUUAAAGGGUGCGUAGGCGGUCUGAUAAGUUAGAGGUGAAAUCCCGAGGCUCAACUUCGGAAUUGACUCUGAUACUGUUCGGCUAGAGAGUAGUAGCGGUAAGCGGAAUGUAUGGUGUAGCGGUGAAAUGCUUAGAGAUCAUACAGAACACCGAUUGCGAAGGCAGCUUACCAGGCUACUUCUGACGUUGAGGCACGAAGGCGUGGGGAGCAAACAGGAUUAGAUACCCGGGUAGUC
rnacentral:rRNA from 1 species